rnacentral:misc_RNA from 1 species
GAUGAAGAACGUAGCGAAAUGCGAUACUUGGUGUGAAUUGCAGAAUCCCGUGAACCAUCGAGUCUUUGAACGCAAGUUGCGCCCGAAGCCAUUAGGCCGAGGGCACGCCUGCCUGGGCGUCACACGUCGUUGCCCCCCCAUCUACUCCUUCGGGAUUGCGGGGGGCGGAUGAUGGCCUCCCGUGCGCCUCGUCGCGCGGUUGGCAUAAAUGCCAAGUCCUCGGCGACGCACGCCACGACAAUCGGUGGUUGCGAAACCUCGGUUGCCCGUCGUGUGCGGUCGUCGCGCAUCGAGGGCUCGAAAAAAUUGUCGGGCUCCGGCUCGGCUUUCAACGCGACCCCAGGUCAGGCGGGGUUACCCGCUGAAUUUAAGCAUAUCAAUAACGGAGGA